rnacentral:rRNA from 1 species
AGGCCGUGCAUGUCUAACUGCAAGCACGUUUAUACUGCCAAACCUGCAAAGGGUCCAUUAAUCCAUUUAUCGUUUCAUAUAAUUUACCCUUUUACCUUGAAAACCGUUGUAAUUUCUAAACUUAAACCUGCCAUCAAAACUCUAACCCGUGAUGGGAUGAUUGCUUUUAUUAAAUCAAAACCCCUCUACGGACGGCCUCGCGACCCAAGUCGUUAAUUUUGAUGAAUCUGGAUUACUUUUGCCAAUGUCCUGGUCCAUUUCCGGCCUCGCAUCUUUCAAAUGUCUGCCUUAUCACCUUUCGAUGGUAAUUUCUGCAACUACCAUGGUUGUCACGGGUAACGGGGAAUCACGGUUCAAUUCCGGAGAGGGAGCCUGAGAAACGGCUACCACAUCCAAGGAAGGCAGCAGGCGCGCGAAUUACCCACUCCCGGCACGGGGAGGUAGUGACGAAAAAUAACGAUACGGGACUCUUACGAGGCCUCUUAAUCGGAAUGAGUACACUUUAAAUAUUUUAACGAGGAACAAUUGGAGGGCAAGUCUGGUGCCACCACCCGCGGA